CUAGCCAAUCUUGAAUGAAGCUCAGAAAAUUGUUCUCCUCGCUAUCCAGUGCUUCCUUCAUGUUGCAUUAGGACAUCGGGGAACUAAAUUC